rnacentral:rRNA from 1 species
UACGAAGGGUGCAAACGUUGCUCGGAAUUAUUGGGCGUAAAGCGCACGUAGGCGGCUUAGCAAGUCGAAUGUGAAAUCCCUCGGCUCAACCAAGGAAGUGCAUCCGAAACUGCUGAGCUUGAGUACUUAAGAGGAUCGCGGAAUUCCCGGUGUAGAGGUGAAAUUCGUGGAUAUCGGGAGGAACACCAGUGGCGAAGGCGGCGAUCUGGGAAGAUACUGACGCUGAGGUGCGAAAGCGUGGGGAGCAAACAGG